GGCCCAUGGGUGAGGAGCCACUGCCGUGGGAAGGAGGCCGCCUGGCCGCUGGGUCACCCUCACGCUCACAGUGAGCUGGGCUUUGUCUUGCCUAGAGGAACAGGAAAAGGAGCUGUGUUGGUUUCCAGUCACAGUGUGGGGAGAGAAGCCCAUGAAAUCCCCUGGAUAUGGCUCACAGAGCCAAGAGUAAGUUGCAAAAAGGUGCAGUGCCUGGGCCCCAUGGCUGAGUCCUUACUCGCAUGCUUGCCAGGGCAUUGCUCCCGGCACGAGGCCGCCCGCCUGCAGCAGGCCCGCAGGGGCACGGUGGGUCCCCGCCCGCUCCUCAUGCCUUGAGCGCGUCAUCCUUCCCGGGGUUCACGGCCUCUGACAGCCAGACCUCAACACGGCCAGCACGGUGUGCAUGGUGUGCACGCCUCCUGCGCCGGGGCCACCAGAGUGGGCUCUCACCGGAGGAGAAAGACAGUCGGGGAGAGCAGCGCUGUCUGUCACGCUUUGUCACGCUUUGCCGGUGUCAUCUGAGAAGUGGUGCAGGGGACAAGGGGGGCGUGACAGGACUGGUCCUGCGGUAGAGACCCUCUGGGGUGGUGUUCCUGGAACUCUCCCGAAGCCUCUCUUGUUGACAUGCAUGCCCCACUGAGGAGGGCACACAGCAGAGCUGAGUUAUACCCACACCCUGCAAUCAAACAUGCCCCACAUCACACCUGGAGUCACGCAGACCCCAGGCAGCCUGCACAAAAUGCCAAACAAGAAAAAACUGCAAGAAAACCACCGCCACACGCCUUUCUAGAACAUGCAACCUAAGGAUCAAAUCCCACAACCAAAGGUGCACAGAGAGGUGUUGGGGAGAGGACAAGGGCAGCCUCCACACUAGAGGACAGAGUGGGGCUGGCAUGGCAGCCGCAGGGACACAGCAGGCUGUGGGGCCGGGGGCUGAG
rnacentral:lncRNA from 1 species